AUAUGGGGGGACCAUCCUCCAAGGCUAAAUACUCCUGACUGACCGAUAGUGAACCAGUACCGUGAGGGAAAGGCGAAAAGAACCCCGGCGAGGGGAGUGAAAAAGAACCUGAAACCGUGUACGUACAAGCAGUGGGAGCACGCUUAGGCGUGUGACUGCGUACCUUUUGUAUAAUGGGUCAGCGACUUAUAUUCUGUAGCAAGGUUAACCGAAUAGGGGAGCCGAAGGGAAACCGAGUCUUAACUGGGCGUUAAGUUGCAGGGUAUAGACCCGAAACCCGGUGAUCUAGCCAUGGGCAGGUUGAAGGUUGGGUAACACUAACUGGAGGACCGAACCGACUAAUGUUGAAAAAUUAGCGGAUGACUUGUGGCUGGGGGUGAAAGGCCAAUCAAACCGGGAGAUAGCUGGUUCUCCCCGAAAGCUAUUUAGGUAGCGCCUCGUGAAUUCAUCUCCGGGGGUAGAGCACUGUUUCGGCAAGGGGGUCAUCCCGACUUACCAACCCGAUGCAAACUGCGAAUACCGGAGAAUGUUAUCACGGGAGACACACGGCGGGUGCUAACGUCCGUCGUGAAGAGGGAAACAACCCAGACCGCCAGCUAAGGUCCCAAAGUCAUGGUUAAGUGGGAAACGAUGUGGGAAGGCCCAGACAGCCAGGAUGUUGGCUUAGAAGCAGCCAUCAUUUAAAGAAAGCGUAAUAGCUCACUGGUCGAGUCGGCCUGCGCGGAAGAUGUAACGGGGCUAAACCAUGCAC
rnacentral:rRNA from 1 species